rnacentral:rRNA from 1 species
UACGAAGGGGGCUAGCGUUGCUCGGAAUCACUGGGCGUAAAGCGCACGUAGGCGGAUUGCUAAGUCAGGGGUGAAAUCCUGGAGCUCAACUCCAGAACUGCCCUUGAUACUGGCGGUCUCGAGUCCGGGAGAGGUGAGUGGAACUGCGAGUGUAGAGGUGAAAUUCGUAGAUAUUCGCAAGAACACCAGUGGCGAAGGCGGACUCACUGGCCCGGUACUGACGCUGAGGUGCGAAAGCGUGGGGAGC